GAUGAACGCUGGCGGCGUGCCUAAUACAUGCAAGUCGAGCGAACAGACGAGGAGCUUGCUCCUCUGACGUUAGCGGCGGACGGGUGAGUAACACGUGGAUAACCUACCUAUAAGACUGGGAUAACUUCGGGAAACCGGAGCUAAUACCGGAUAAUAUAUCGAACCGCAUGGUUCAAUAGUGAAAGACGGUUUUGCUGUCACUUAUAGAUGGAUCCGCGCCGCAUUAGCUAGUUGGUAAGGUAACGGCUUACCAAGGCAACGAUGCGUAGCCGACCUGAGAGGGUGAUCGGCCACACUGGAACUGAGACACGGUCCAGACUCCUACGGGAGGCAGCAGUAGGGACUCUUACGCGAUGGGCGAAAGCCUGACGGAGCAACACCGCGUGAGUGCUGAAGGUCUUCGGAUCGUAAAACUCUGUUGUUAGGGAAGAACAAAUGUGUAAGUAACUAUGCACGUCUUGACGGUACCUAAUCAGAAAGCCACGGCUAACUACGUG
rnacentral:rRNA from 1 species